AGACUGCUGUGCUAGCAAUCAGCGAGACUCCGUGGGCGUAGGACCCUCCGAGCCAGGUGCGGGAUAUAAUCUCGUCGUGCGCCAUUUUUUAAGCCCGUCGGAAAUGCGCAGUAUUCGGGUGGGAGUGACCCGAUUUUCCAGGUGCCGUCCGUCACCCCUUUCUUUGAUUAGGAAAGGGAACUCCCUGACCCCUAGCACUUCCCGAGUGAGGCAAUGCCUCGCCCUGCUUCGGCUCGCGCACGGUGCGCACCCACUGACCUGCGCCCACUGUCUGGCGCUCCCUAGUGAGAUGAACCCGGUACCUCAGAUGGAAAUGCAGAAAUCACCCGUCUUCUGCGUCGCUCAGGCUGAUUGCUGCAGACCGGAGCUGUUCCUAUUCGGCCAUCUUGCCUCCUCCCCCGGAAUUUUCUUAAUUGACCCUGGGCCAGGGAAAGAAAUGAAUGAAGAUGCCACCUUAUGCCCAGAACACAUCUCUCAUUCAAUGAUAAAGGAUUUGUGGUUGGGUCAACUUUUGUGAUGCUCAACUCUUUCCUUCGUAAGGACGGGCUCUUUCUCAGGAGGCUUUUGUACUCCCAAUUAACGCACUGCUAAUCUGAUGAAGCUCUAUUUUGUAGCUAUGCCAUCUGGAUCACAUAGCCUCCAAGGCCAGCAGAGCAGAGGAAGACAAAGAGCAGAGCAAGAUAGAGGUGGAAGUUACACGUCCUUUGUGCUUACUUUCUACUGGCCUCAUCGGGUCGCAAGAUCCCACUCUGAUAGGUGCAUGGGGGCUUGGAAAAUUAGAAAAACAUGUGAAUAUUUGGUAGGCACUUACAAUCUCUGCCAGCAUCUGCCCUUCUAAUCAGCAAAUUUUCAAUUACUUUUUUCUUCACCCACAUAAGACAUCUUAAUCCAACCUCAGGGGACACAUCCUGAUGUCCAAUCUAGUCACUACUUCAAGCUUAAUGGGAUACAUGGGCCUCUCUGUCAUGUCUGCAUGAGGCUCUUCUUGAUCAGUUGACCUAUGAACUGAAAGAAAGCAUAUAUCGUUGUCCUCCACUGUCUAUAUCACUGCAUACAGAGUGGUGGAAAGGAACAGAAUAACGAUGGUAUACAUUCCUAUUUGAAAGGGGAUGAUUAGAGACACAAAACAAUGAUAACAUCUCACUGGUCAGACAUGGUGAAAGUUCCCCUGUGCAGGGGAUGGUAAAUGUUCCUUAAUUAGGCCUUGGUUCUGGUCCUCGAGAGGCAUUCUUUUAUCCAUUGUCCUCUAUGGCUGUAAUCUGUGCCCUCCAAGAUAUUCUUUCUUUUCCAUUACUCUCUGAAGUGGUUGAGGGGGAAUACGUCUUCCUUUGGGGCUGCACGGUUUUCUCAGCAAACUUCUUUCCCACAGAACAUUGGCAGCUUAAGGGUUAUAAGUCUCAAAAUGUCAGUGGCUUUUUUUAGUCCAGGCUCAUGAUUUAUUUAACAAUGCAUUUCCCUCAAACACACAGUAGGCUUCUGAUCUAUUUGCUUUAAAUAACUUUCAUGUGGUAGUAACCACACCUAAAGUUCUUUUCUAGGCAUAAUUCUAAAAUCUGCUUUGUUUCGUUGCUUUCUCACUUCUGUGCAUUUCUCUCUCUUCUAUAUGGGGGCUGUGUUGAAGAUGUCUGACUAAGAGGUAGAAAGUUCACACACUUAAUCUGUUUACACUCUUAAUUGAUUCUCAUCCUAAGUCAUUUCAUCCAAUGGGGACAUUUCACUGUGAUUUUGUGGCAGUCUUUUGAGAUGCCAAGUCUUCCUGUUUAGAGCCUAGAAGUAGUCACUGUUCCAACUUAGAAACUUCCAAAUUUCUGAACGAUUUUUAUUCCUUUCAUUUCUGUUUGCAAGCCAGCCAGGGUUUUCCUGAGCUUAUUUCAUUAUUGUAAUCCUCUGCCAAAUACAGCCAACAUUCACUUUCAACAUUGUUUCCCUAAGUCGUUGGACUCAGAAGCCCCACAGUCUGCCUCCCAAAUUACCACAGGAUUUUAAUUUUUGCCAAAUGGUUUCCUACUGCUUAAAAUGGAUUGCCAUUUUUUCCAGCCUCUAACAUUGGAUUCUUCACUGCCCUCUGCCUAAUUACUAAGUCAUUGCUACACGUUUCAGGUUUCUUUGUGUUGGCCUCUUAUCACUGAUAAAAAUUCUGAAUUUGUUAGGAUAGGCUAGACUAUGCUGUGAAAACAAAUAUCCCCAUUUCAAUUCACUUGCUGAACAAAAUGAAGUUAUCUUUUUUGUUCACACAAAAUCUCCAGGUUCCCGUCUGAUUUCACUUUGGGCUGUGGUUGUGAGUAUUGGAGAAGUAUAAAUUGUGGGGCAAAUGGAAAGGAAGUUCAAGGUGACAUUUUGCUUAGCAAACUCGAAGUGUAUGUUGGUAUUAUUGCUUAGGUAUGGUAUAUUUAUUUGUAUGUUUACAUAGUGUGACUGCCUAAUGGCAUUAAAAAAAUCUAUAGUGCAUGGUUCACUGUUUUCCCUUCGCUGAGAAGAGCAAUGAGUAAGAAUAGAAAUAGGAAUAUAUUUUAUCUGAUGAACCAGGGUGAAAAUUAGCAAAAAAUUUGUGACAGUGGAUAUAUAAAAUAAAAUUUCCCCUUAAGUUAUAUAAUCAUGUUUACACUUUUUGCAUAUGUAACUAAAUGAAUGUAUACUUUCUUCUAGUGGCUUACUGGUAGAAAAUAAACACAGAUGUUUUUGUUUUAUAUUUUACAGCAAUGCUUUCAGUAACCUGGAGAGGUACACAUGGCUGGUAUAACAAUUAUCUUCAUUUAAUGAUGUGGAAACACCUACCACAAGUCCUGGCACAUUGAGGGUCUUGAAUAAAUUCUGUCAGAUGAACGGACAAGCGCACAAAAGGUUGAAAGAGUGAAUGAGGCAGGUUAAAUGACCAGUUCUAGAUUUGUUACUAAGUGACACAGCCUAACUGAGUUUUCUAAUGUUCCACUAACCCUGCUUCCAAGCAGCUUCAGAAUGCAGCUUACAUUUCUGCUAUAAAUAUUUUCUUUAGACUUUUGCUGAUGAAUUGAAGUUUCAUAACAAGAAGAAAGCAGAUGGCUUUUGGGAGGGGUUUAUACUUGCUCUUUUAACUGUGUUUCUGUUUUGCUUGUUUAUGCAGAGUGUGCACAAAGGUUGCCAGAGCCUUAAUUUCAAACUGCAUCAUUUAAUAAAAUACAAUAAGGAGAAUUAAGAAAGAAGGCUGCAGGGGAACAUCCUGCUUAUUAUCUCUGUAAUGAGAGGACUAUUUUUUCUCCCAUCAGUUGCCAAUGAUGAGGUUUUUUGUUUCCUUUUGUGCAGGCACAAUUGUGAUAUUCAACGAGAGUAGUGCGAAGUGCCACUUUACAGCCAAACAUUCAAUUCCUCCUAAUUCACAAGGGAGAGAGGGAUCAAGUUGUGCAGCUGGGAGGUGAUGUUUCUUCCCAGCAGCUGUCAUUGAGGAGACACGUGCAAACCAUAGAAGUCAUUUGUCACAAGAACCCCAUCCAGAAUUUGCUAUGUGCGUCUCACUUGCUAACGUGACAUGAAAUACUGAAGCUUUCAAAAAUCAAGUACAGAGACUUUGUUGUGUUGACAUGGGCAAAAUGAAAUGAAGAGCUGAGGCAAUUAUGUGGAUAAAUCAGGCCAAAAAUAUCCAACCAUUGAGAGGAAAAAGUUCCUUUGGCUCAAAUUAUUCAGAGUGACUGUCCAUGUUCAUCAAUUUAUCAGGAUAAUGAAUUUUAUCCUAUACUUUACUUUGUCACUAUAGAUAUAUCUUUAGUCUAUGAAUUUGAAUGACUUUGUGAUAUUUUACUUCACUGAAAAUUAUAAUAGGGGUUGAAUGAGCAAGCACCGUGUUAAAAGAUUGCUACUGCAGCUAUGAUAAUAGUCCAGGAGAUUUUAAACCCCGUUAUUCAAUAGCUAGCAGACAUAGUUAUUGGAAUGGGGGUAGAGAGGGAGACACGAAAUCUGUUGAGAAUCAAAUGCUUGUAACUAAUCUGUCUUUCCCAUUUAGCAUCCUAUUAUCCAAAAAUAUCUUGGUCUGUAGCUCCCACCUGGUUUCCUGGUCAUUUGACUACUGGUUAAAUGAGCCUGAAAAUUUCAUCAGGUUUCAUAUAAAGAAUAAUAUAUUAUAGUUACAUACAUAUAAAUGUAUAUCUUUGUGUAUUUUUAAUAUCCCUUAUUUAUCUACAAAGAGAUGAAUGUUUGAAAUAUGUGACGGAUAAGCAAGGUCAAUUCUUGUGUCUGCUCAUGCAUUGGCAUUGAGCUUUCUGCUUGGAGUCCUUAGCAUAUUCCGCACUUGAGCCAUCCUUCUUGUUUCUUCAUACUUCCAGAGCCACUAGAAUCACAGGCAAAAGGGCAGGAGCUUCUCCUUGGGGCAGAGGGAGAACCUCUGAGCAUUACCCUGGGUGGUUUGGUCCUGCCAGAGUCUCUUAAACAUUAGAGACAACUCACCAUUUGGAAGUUACAAAUCAUGAAAGUGCUCACUGAAGCAAAAUAAUACCACAUAAGAAAUAAAUGCCUAAUGUUGAUGAACAUUUUAAUCUUUAUUAUAAAAUUAUAACACAAAGAAGAAUCCUGAAGAAUGACCCUAAAGCUUUUGUCACAAUAGCAUUGUAAUGGAAAUACAGGUGUGUUUUCUUUUCUUUCUUUUUUCCUUUUUUGAGACAGGGUCUUGCUUUGUCACCCAGGGUGGUGUGCAGUGGAGCUAUCAUGGCUCACUGUAGCCUCGACCUCCUGGGCUCAAGCAAUCCUCCCACCUCAGCCUAUUGGGCAGCUGGGACUACAGGCAUGCAUAACCACAUCCAGCUAAUUUUUUGUAGAGAUGGGGUUUCUCCAUGUAUUGCCCAGGCUGGUCUCGAACUCCUUGGCUCAAGUGAUUCUCCCACCUUAGCCUCCCAAAGUGCUGGGAUUACAAGCAUGAGCCACCACACCUGGCCUAUGUGUGUUUUAUGAUUAAAAAAGAAAUACAUACAAUUAUUGGGACAGAACAAAAUAAAGAGAAAAAUACAAAUUACCUGUAAUUCAACUAUCCAGAGAUAAUUAUUUUUUACGGACUGAAUGAUGUUCUCCAAAAUUCAUAUGUUGAAGCCCUAGCCCCUAAUGUGAUUAAUAUGGUUUGGCUGUGUCCCCACCCAAAUCUCAUCUUGAAUUGUAACUCCCACAAUUCCCAUGUGUUGUGGGAAGAAACUAAUGGGAGGUAAUUGAAUCAUGGGGACGGGUCUUUCCCAUGCUGUUCUUAUGAUAGUGAAUAAGUCUCACGAGAUCUGAUGGCUUUAAAAAAUGGGAGUUUUCCUGUAUAAGCUCUCCCUCUCUUUGCCUGCUGCCAUCCAUGUAAGACAUGACUUUUUCCUCCUUGCCUUCCACCAUGAUUGUGAGGCCUCGCCAGCCAUGUGGAACUGUAAGUCCAUUAAAUGUCUUUCUUUUGUAAGUUGCCCAGUCUCAGGUAUGUCUUUAUCAGCAGUGUGAAAAUGAACUAAUACAGUAAAUUGGUACCAGUAGAGUGGGUUGCUGCUGUAAAUACCCGAAAAUGUGAAAACGACUUUGGAACUGGGUAACAGGCAGGGGUUGGAACAGUUUGGAGGGCUCAGAAGAAGACAGGAAAACGUGGGACAGUUUGGAACUUCCUAGAGACUUGUUGAAUGACUUUGCCCAAAAUGCUGAUAGUGAUAUAGACAAUGAAGUCCAGCCUGAGGUGGCUUCAGAUGGAGAUGAGGAACUUCUUGGGAACUGGAGCAAAGGUGACUCUUGUUAUGUUUAGCAGCAUUUUGCCCCUGGGCAUUUUGCCCCCAUCCUAGAGCUUUGUGGAACUUUGAACUCGAGAGAGAUAAUUUUGGGUAUCUGGCAGAAGAAAUUUCUAAGCAGCAAAGCAUUCCAGAGGUGACCUGGUUCACCACUUGGGUGCUGUUAAAGGCAUUCAGUUUCAAAAGGGAAAUGGAGAAUAAAAGUUCAGAAAACUUGCAGCCUGACAAUGUGAUAGAAAAGAAAAUCCCAUUUUCUGAGGAGAAAUUCAAGCUGGCUGCAGAAAUUUGCAUAAGUAAUGAGGAGCCAAAUGUUAAUCCCCAAGACAAUGGGGAAAAUGUCUCAAGGGCAUGUCAGAGGUCUUCACAGCAGCCCCUCUCAUCACAGGCCCAGAGGCCAAGGAGGAAAAAGUGGUUUUGUGGGCUGGGCCCAGGGUGCCUCGCUGUGUGCAGUCUAGGGACUUGGUGUCCUGCAUCCCAGCUGCUCCAGCCAUGACUAAAGGGGCCAAGGUACAGCUCAGAUUGUUGCUUCAGAGGGUACAAGCCCCCAGCCUUGGCAUCUUCCAUGUGGUGUUGAGCCUGUGUGUGCACAGAAGUCAAGAAUUGAAGUUUGGGAACCUCUGCCUAGAUUUCAGAGGAUGUAUGGAAAUGCCUGGAUGCCCAGGCAGAAGUUUGCUGCAGGGGCAGGGCUCUCAUGGAGAACCCCUAUGAGGGCAAUGCAAAAGGGAAAUGUGGGGUUGGAGUCCCCACACAGAUCUCUACUGAGACACCACCUAGUGGAGCUGUGAGAAGAGGGUCAUCACUAUCCUCCAGAACCCAGAAUGCUAGAUCCACCAACAGCUUACACUGUUUGCCUGAAAAAGCCACAGACACUCAAUGCCAGCCUGUUAAAGCAGCUGGGAGGGAGUCUGUACCCUUCAAAGCCUGGAUGUGAGACAUCGAGUUAAAGGAGAUCAUUUGGAGCUUUAAGAUUUGACUACCCCACAGGAUUUCAGACUUGCAUGGGGCUUGUAGCCCCUUUGUUUUAGCCAAUUUCUCUCAUUUGGAAUGGCUGUAUUUACCCAAUGCCUGAACCCCCACUGUAUCUAGGAAGUAACUAAUUUGCUUUUGAUUUUAUAGGCUCAUAGGCUGAAGGGACUUGCUUUGUCUGAGACUGUGGACUUUUGAGUUAAUGCUGAAAUGAGUUAUGACUUUGGAGGAAUAUUAGAAAGGCGUGAUUGGAUUUGAAAUGUGAGGACAUGAGAUUUGGAAGGGGCCAGGGGUGGAAUGAUAUGGUUUGGCUGUGUCCCCACCCAAAUCUCAUCUCUAAUUGUAACUUCCACAAUUCCCAUGUAUGAUGAGAGGAAACAGUGGGAGGUAAUUGAAUCACAGGGACGGGUCUUUCCCAUAUUGUUCUUGUGAUAGUGAAUAAGUCUCAUGAGCUCUGAAGGCUUUACAAAUGAGAGUUUCCCUUCACAAGCCCUCUCUCUCCCUCUCUUUGCCUGCUGCCAUCCAUGUAAGACAUGAUUUGUUCCUCCUUGUCUUCCACCAUGAUUGUGAGGCUCCCCAGCCAUGUGGAAGUGUAAGUCCAAUUAAACCUCUUUCUUUUGUAAAUUGCCCAGUCUUGGGUAUGUCUUUAUCAGCAGCAUGAAAACGGACUAAUACAGUGAUAGUAUUUGAAAAGGGGCCUUUGGGAGGUAAACAAGGUUAAACAAGGUCAUGAGGACCCUAAUCCAAUAGGAUUUGUGCCCUUAUGAAAACAGGGAGAGACAAACCAGAGCUCAUUGGCUAUCUCUUCCAUGUUGGGACACACAAAGAAGAUGGCCAUCUCCAAGACAGAAAUGUGAUCAUGCUGGCACCUUGACCCUGAACUUCUAGCCUUUGGAACUGUGAAAAUAAAUUUGUUUUUUACGCCACCCAGUCUAUGGUAUUUUGUUAUGGUAGUCCAAGCUGACUAACACACCACUGUUAAUAUUUUUACAUCCUUUUAUAUUUUAAUAUUAUUCUAUACUAAAAUAUAUAUCUAUCCAUCAACCCAUCCAUCCUUACGUACCUAUAAAGAUGGUGCUAUACGCAAUGGUUUACAU
rnacentral:lncRNA from 1 species